GCUGAGCUUGAAAGGACUCGGGUGUUCUAAGCGUACCGCGGUUUUGUAAACCGAAGGUCGGGGGUUCAAUCCCCUCAGCCGGCACCA
rnacentral:tRNA from 1 species